UGUUAUGCCUCCAGGCAACACCUUGUUUUUGUUAUGCCCCAAGGCAACAGGUGCCUUGUCUGGAACAUAUUACUUUUCAAUGCUCUGGGCAGAGCACGUACAUUACUAAAUUUAGUUCUUAAACUAGGAAAAUAUAUGUCAGUCCCCUACAGCCAGGUCUACAGACAUGGGAAUGUGGAUGACGUGGGGUCUCCAAAGCCCAAGCGAGUAUGGUAACUCGUGUUGAAUGUUGGAAAAUGUGACAUCUGCAGUGCAGAUUAGAGAUGGAGCCUCCCCUUGGUGCCUUCUGUGUCUCGCUGGUGUGGGGAGGGGAUGAAGGAAGGAGAUGAGUUGGUGAUGUUGACACUUGCACAAGGUCAUUUCUGAGAGCCAGUCACAGCUCUACUGUUUUGUCACAUCACCGUGGAAACAAAACAGAAUGUAGCCUGGUCUCCUAAAUGUCACAGGGCCAGUCGCUGUCUCUCACUUACAUUAUCCUAGAGCUUCAAAGGCCUGAGGCCAUUGAGGAACAGGUGGGAAAUGGAAUAGUGAUUACCACCACAUGGUGCAAAAUACUGCCCAGAAAACAACCGAUGCCCAGGAAAGUAUAUAGAGUUGGUCUUUUCAGGACUCUUGGCUUAUCUCAACAAAUAUCAGAAUAGGAGGGGAACUCGCAGAGCCGCUGGCCAACACUGAUGAGAUCACGGAGACCUGAGCCUCCAUGCAACAGCCAAAGGGAGCUUUACAAAGCUGACAUCUACCAUGCCGCCCACGCCCCUGUAAUAACUUCAAGCAUCCACCAGCUAAAGACCCAAGUCCUUGGGAAGAACUGAGGGUCUGGCCCCGUCUCAUCGUCCAGCCUCUCUGUUCCUCUCAGCCCCUGCCAGUCCGUGCUCCUCGGAUGAAGUCAAAGUUUCAGUUUCUUAAAAGUUACUCAGCACAUAUCAUGGGGUGACAUCAUGGCAAAGCGUCUCAAAGAACGGACAAGAGGACUCUGAAUCCGCGUCAGCUCAAUUCAGCAAGUGCCAACUGAAUUUUCAAAGAAGGAAGUCAUGCAAUGAUUACAUUUCCAGCUGUAAAUUGGCUUGUGGAAGAUUAAAGGCUGAGGGACAGCUUGAGAUUAGUAAAACAUGGUUCAUGAGAAACAUGAGACUUUUUUUCAG